rnacentral:RNase_P_RNA from 1 species
CGAGUAAGUCAGACGAUUGCGGGCACUUUAAAGGUGCGUGAGGAAAGUCCGGGCUCCAUAGAGCAAGGGUGCCGGUUAACGGCCGGUGGAGGCGACUCCAAGGAUAGUGCAACAGAAAAUAAACGCCGAAUUUUUCGGUAAGUGUGGAAAUGUGAGGUAAGAGCUCACAGGGAAGAUGGUAACUGAAUUCCCGUGUAAACCCCACCCGGAGCAACAUCGACAGUGCAGCUAAGCCUGCUCGGCAUUGCACGCCUGAUGGCUUGAGCGAGGAGGUAACUCUCCGCCACAGAUAGAUAAUCGUCCGAUACAGAACCCGGCUUAUAGACUUGCUCAUUGU